GUAACGGCGAGUGAAGCGGCAACAGCUCAAAUUUGAAAUCUGGCCUCUUCGGGGUCCGAGUUGUAAUUUGUAGAGGGUGUUUCGGGCGCGAUGCCGGUCUAAGUUCUUUGGAACAGGACGUCGUAGAGGGUGAGAAUCCCGUAUGCGACCGGCGAUCAAGCCUGUGUGAAGCCCCUUCGACGAGUCGAGUUGUUUGGGAAUGCAGCUCAAAAUGGGUGGUAAAUUUCAUCUAAAGCUAAAUAUUGGCCAGAGACCGAUAGCGGACAAGUAGAGUGAUCGAAAGAUGAAAAGCACUUUGGAAAGAGAGUCAAACAGUACGUGAAAUUGUUGAAAGGGAAGCGCUUGCAAUCAGACCGGUCCGGAGGCGAUCAGCCGCUGCUCGUCAGCGGUGCACUCGCCUGCGAUCCGGCCAGCAUCGGUUUGGGCGGUGGGAUAAAAGUCCCGGGAAUGUAGCUUCUUUCGGGGAGUCUUAUAGCCCGGGUCGCAAUGCCGCCCGCUCGGACCGAGGACCGCGCUUCGGCU
rnacentral:rRNA from 1 species